UUUGAACUGUUCGUUUCCAUUUAUCUUAUUUGAUUUUUUUAUGAUUAGUAUUUUUAUUGUUAUUAGAUGAUAAAACAUUAAUAGUAUUUUAUGUGUGAUUUUUUAAAAAAAUUCAUAAUAUUUUAAAAUAAGACGGACGUUAAAUGUUGGAGACAGAUUCUUACGGCUGCACUUAUU
rnacentral:pre_miRNA from 1 species